rnacentral:misc_RNA from 1 species
UGCAUCUGUGCGAGUUGCAGG